GGAUCCUACUGCUGCUCUAAGCCCAGGUUUCGUCAGAUGAACAAAGCCUGUCGACUCCUGUUUUUCAUGUGAUUGCUUUACUUCACAACUUCUGAAGGAUGACGCUGCUGUGAAGUUAAAUUCCGGCAAAAACACGGGCUGGACUGAAGACGUUAACCCUCAGUGUCCCUCAAGGAUUCAGUCUGGAACUGUUGUUCAGCUGCUCAAGCAUUUAUACAGGUUGUGAAAUAAAAAAAGUUUUCUUUUUUUGCUCCAUAGGUGUAGCUCAGGGUAAAGUCAGAGAUUCUGAGAAAAAAAAAAGUGAGAGAUGAGGAGGAACAUCUCAGCUGCUCAACAUCAUCAUCGUCAUUGCCCUCAUUAUCAGCGUCACCACCAUCAUCAGUCCACCACUGUGGCCACUGUGGGGCGAUCUUCUUUGCUUUUAAAUUGAUCAUGAUUGGAGAAAGUUGGACCCUUUACCUGAACCAUAGCAGGAAGGGAAGUAAAAUCGAAGUCUGUUCACAGCUUACUGUCUGCAUUCAAAACACAAGUCAAGGUCAGGCUCCUCAGAUGUCACUAGCCCCACCUCACAGUCUUCUUCUCCCCAGUUGUCUUUGGAUGGGGGGGAUUUGUGGUGUAAAACCCAAAAGGGUGAAAGCUCAAAACAUUCAGUAUCCAGGAUGAGCCAAGAAAUGCAGGGGAGGUUUCCUGACCGGAUUCUGGUCUGGGAACACAGUCUCCAAGUCCCAGACAAAACCAGACCAGACCCCCUCCCCACCACUGCUCUCCGGCCUCAACCACCAAUCACUCCAUGGAGGAGAGAUACAUUCAGUGGAAGUAAAGCCAUGUUCUCCAAACACUUUUGACGUUCUUGUGCUGGAAACUUUUUUCUGAUUUCAUAGGUGGCAUUUUCUUCAAACUGACACUAACCUCGAACUCUGGUGAAACCAAACCCUGUUGUGAUGGCUGUGCUCUCUCAGAUCUCUCAAUUCAGUCAAACUUUCAGGUUCUACUUGUUCACUCCAUCUAUCUCAUCUCUUCAAAUCUCAGAGACUAUGUUAGUUGUGAAAAUCCCAGUAAAUGGUUCUCUGCCAGCUCCCAACGUUCCCAGGAGAGUCCGGUGCUUAGGACUAAAGGAUAGAAAUAGAUGUUCAACCUAGACCCUAGUCUGGGGAACCCCCUCUCUCCAUCCCGAAGAUCCUAAGACGGUCAGUGUCGCACAGAUGAAACUGUGACUUCACUGGAACUUUUGUCUGAUCCGUUUGUGGCCCACUAGAUGGGAACUGUGCUGGAUCUGUGUUCUCCAGAGGUCCAGAGGGACCGGACACUGCCAAAGUGCCACGAAGACUUGGCAGCACAGUGGUGAAGAGACAAGGUCCAAGUCCUGAAGGUCCCUUCAGUGGAAUUCCAGUGGAAUAAACAGUGACACAGGAACUGGGCUUCUUGGACUUUUUGAGGAUGAUGAAAUAUUUAUGAACUUCAUGACGACACAGUGUGGAGCCAUAGGUGUGUCCUGGAGCGGGUGACCCAUGUGACUAAGGUUCAGCAUCAGCAUAUGUGUGGAAAUUCCUGCAUCUCAGUGUUUGUUUAUGGAACUGCCAGCUGUUUCUGAUGUCAUCGUCAUCAUCAUCGACAACAGCGGGAUUUUUUUUCUAAAAAUAAUGUUUCACUUGCUCCGACUGUUCAUAGGCCACGUCCAUUUUUGUUUAACGUUCUCAGGAUAAUGGAGGGAAUUUCAUUCUUCAUAACGUCUGGGAUAUUUUGAGCUCCUAGGGGCAGCUAUGGUUCAGUGGGUCGAAGCUUAAAAGUGUACCAUAAUCUGUCCUUUUACCAUGGUGUCCAUGGGAAACUGAGACACAAACUGAAGGCAAAUUGUAUUUAAGAAUUAAAAAAUAAUUACAAAACAAUCACAGGUGGAAAUAAAAACCCCAUCAGUCACCAUCUCAGUCCUCGUGGCCUUAAAAACCUCAGAAAAGUGAGAUAAAGACGGCAGACACGCUUAUCUUUAAAUUCUGCAGCACCUGUUCACACAUGAACUUUUUAUUGUUUCUUUGAUCCUGCAUAGACCCCCAAGUGGGCAUGGCCUGUUCAUAAGCCCUGCCCACUCCUGUGACACGGUCCUGGGCAAUGUUUAAAGGUGUCUGAGAGAAAGUUAAAAUGAAAGCGCUCCACUGAAGUAACUCUUUAUAAAUGUUCUGGAACUGAUAAAGAACAUAAAUAAGCUGUGUUUGCUUCCAGCUAGCACUGCUAACAGGUAGAGUCCAACAAACAAAGAAAUAAACAGUGUGAUAGACAGAUGUUUUUCCCCUGGUUACCGGAACCGCCAAGUACGAGCGAAUGGACGGGUUUUAUAGGAUCCCCAAAGACUGUCGAGCACCAGCAUAAACAUAAAUCUGCGCCCCGUUUGUUAUUUAUAUUAAGUGUUGAAUUUACUGAAAUAUAAAUGCACACACACAUAAUUCUAGUACAGAAUCCAGCCUGGGUCCAGACUCACUGAUCCUCCUCAUAAAAACACAGCAUGUUGUUGAGCUGAAUCAGUGAAUCUGGAUCAGCUGAUCUGGUUUUCACACUAUGUUCUGUCCAAACACAGACGAUGUACCUCCAACGUUCCCCAUUAGAGUGGUGAGAUCCUCUUUCGGAGCAGCUGGGAGACUGGCGGACAUGGAAGGUAAGAGACAAGAGGUGAGAAGAUGAGGUCCUGACCUUCAGGUCCUGACCCUCAGGUCCUCAGAUCCUCAUCAGCUCUCAGAGUCCUGAUCUUUAUGACAGAUUAAAUGACAUUUUUAUGAGCAGUUUCUGGAGAAAGUCAGAGACACAUUUAUCGUCUUCAAAGAUUCAAAGAUGAGAGUAAAAAUACAAGCCUGGGAAGCAGGGAAUUAUGGGUAUAAAUAGAUCUAGUCUUCCUGGACUGUAGAGUCACAUGACCACAGAGAAUUUACCAACACGGUGGUAACUGUGUUGGAGAGAGUCUUUCACACUGUUUAACCAACCUGUAUGAAUUUUAACAAAAACCAAAAAAAAAACAAAAAACACUUGAGCCCUCCUUCUCCUGAACCCCCCCAGAUUUUCAGCAAAAUCUCUAACUCAAACUUUUUGCUCUUAACUCAGACCUGUCUGGAUUUUCUCCUUUACAGCCUAGAGCGGGAGGAGGAGGAGGAGGAAGAACCAGGAGCAGGAUUUGAAGCUCCAGCUGAACUUCAUUAGUUCUCAACUCCUCCACCUCCUUCUGAUCAUAUUCUUUCUGAUCUUCUUUUAAACGUGUUUAUUUAUUUCUGUGUGAUUGAAGAUUCCCAGAGUCCUCCUCCAUCCUGACUCCUAGUCCUCCUCCAUCCCGACUCUGAGUGCCGUCUGUUAUUUAUUCUUAAAUCCAAACACGUUUCCCUCUCAGCUGUUUUAUGACUGGAUCAUGAAGUUCAACACAUGUCAUCUGAAGACGUCCCAACCCUAACUCUCUCUACCGUAUGGUUAAUGGAGCGAGGGAUCAGAGUCAUUUGACUCAAAACAAUGAAACUUUCUCUCAGCUCUGAGCUCAAACCUUUGAAUAGGACAGAAGGAAACAACACAAGCCGGAGGAGGAGAGAAAAUAAUUGUAACAUUUCUCCUUCUUCUAAAUGAUGUCAUCUUCCUGGUUCAUUUUUCUCCACAUUCAGCAACAUUUUGACAUUCUGAUGUCAGCCUACAGCUGAACUGAAGCUACUGUUAACUGUAACCAUGCUAACUAGAAGCUAUCUUCUGGCCAACCUUGAAGCCUGUUCUUUCAUUUGUUUAAUUUUUAUUUAAAGGGCAGGCAGAACAGAACAGACGAACGCUGUUGACAGUGUAACGUGGAGAACGUCUUUUACCUGCUGCCUGUCAGAAAUACCUCUGAUCCUUUGACCUGAUCCUCACCGACAUAAAACACCAAACACAUUAAGAUCUCUGACAGCCAGUCCUCCCCCGUCAUGGACCAGGCUCUUCAUCCCAUGAAGAGCAGCUGAGGGAAUCUUCUGAGGAACCUUCACAUGCAUCCUCACAUGUUAAUCUUUGUAAGACUCUUGGCCUUCUCAGAUGUCUCCGUCCAUCUGAAGAGCGUGUGACAGAUCUACACAUGAACCUGUUCAGAAGCCGAGACUGUGAUACCACUGAUGGAAAAAAACCCCCAGCAGACCUCUGUGUGACCUCUCACUCACAGACUAAUAAAGUGUUCUGUCUCCAUCUCCUGACUCAUAAUGUCAUAAUUAGACCUGAAGCUAAGAAGGCAGCAAUGAGAUGAGACUCAAAGCCUGCAAGCGACUUCAAAAGUCUGAUGAAGCCCACUACCACAUGAUCCACAGCCCACUACCACGUGACCAUAUGAAUAUUUUACCUGUUUGGUCCUUCUAUUUUAUUUUCAUUUAGAUGGUUCUGGGUCAACUUUCUUUUUUACCCUAAUUUUCUUGUAAAAUAAUAUUGAUUUAAGUUUUUGGCACAUUAUGUUCAAAACACCAGAUGUCAAUGUCAGAUUAAAUUUUGUUAUCCUACUUGUGAUUUUAAUGAGAGCAGCCCUCAACCAAAGGUUUAAACAGAAAACUUUGGAGUAGUGAAUUAAUAAUUUAACUGCAGACAUUUGAAUAAUGCAAAGUAAUCAGUGGAGAAACAAAUUACUUUUGUUUCCUGUUGUUUCAUCAACACAGCCUUAAAACAAACACCUCCUCAUCUUUACUUCAGCUGAUGUAAAGAAGAAGAACGAGCUUUGAAUUUAGUGAGAGAGCCACUCUGGCAAAACAACUGACGGCUUCAUUUUUAACAUUUUGAUAAAAGUGCAUGAACUUUUACCAUUUACCUCUCUCAAUGACAGCAACAUUUAAUUUCUGCUCAUGUCUGACCCAAAGAAGAAUUCACUCUUUUAAGCUGCUGCUGCUCCUGCUACCCCUAAUAACCAACACAGGUUAUUAGGGGGGAGGAAUGUUUGAACAGAAAAAACACAGAAUAAUUAAAUCCAAAUGUUUGAGUGAAAAAUAAUCCAGAACAUGAGCUUCAGCUGAAGCAAGAAUACUGGUUCACCCAAAGAAAAUGAACACCAUGGGGUCAUCAGAUAAAAAAGGGCUGUGACAUCAUCAGAAAGAAUAGGCUGUGACAUCGUCUGACAUCAGAAUAAAAAGGCUGUGACAUCAUCAGAAAGAAUAGGCUGUGACAUCGUCUGACAUCAGAAUAAAAAGGCUGUGACAUCAUCAGAAAGAAUAGGCUGUGACAUCGUCUGACAUCAGAAUAAAAAGUCUGUGACAUCAUCAGAAAGAAUAGGCUGUGACAUCAUCAAACAUCAUAAGAAAAAGGCUGUGAUGUCAUUAGAAGAGGCUGUGACGUCCUCAGAAAAAAGGCUGUGACAUCAUUAGAAAAAAGGCUGUGACAUCAUCAGAAAAAAGGCUGUGACAUCAUCAGACAUCAGAAGAAAGAGGCUGUGAUGUCAUCUAAGCCAAAUGAGCUGCUCCAUUGUGGUAAUGUCACUCACCAGUGUUUGCUGCUGCUGCUUCUUUUGGACACACUCGACUACUUGACUGACGUACUUAUGACUUACUUCCUAAUGGUGAAGUCAUCGAAAAAAUGGCAGCGGCCCCUCCCCUGCAGGACACAGCCACACUGAGAGACACACCUACUCUGACACACCCAGAGGAACAGAUAAGUUUCUCUGAAAAGAAACACACAAAGACUGACUCUGACAGCAAGGUCAUUGGUGUAGGCAUCAGUAGUUGCAGCAGCAGCGUAGGUCUCUUUUACGUUCAGUCUAUUUUCUGCAGACGUUUAUUUUCUUUCCCCUGUAAAUAUGGUGAACAUUUUCUCUCUGUUUGUUUUUUCUUCCUCAUUUUCUCAAUUUUUUUCACUUCUGUUCUAAAACGCAAACAUCUGCUGAGGUCUGAGGAGAAGAAGAAGAAGAAAAAAAGUAGAUUCCAGUAGUCUCAGGUUCAAGGAUGUUCUAGGAUCAUUUACAUCCAGUAUCAACAAGAAAAUCCAUCAUAGAGAUUCAGACCUUGUCAGGUCUCUGACCGAGGUCCAGGUCCUACAACCUGGAGAUACAUGAACAGUAACAAUGUCCGGACACAGACUUUGCAGGUGGGUUUGGGUCUCAGGUCCAAACAUGAUCAGUGGGUCAGAAGCUCCAUCAGCUACUUGUAGUUGACCAGAUCUUUGAGUUUGGUCCAGCAGAUAGGGAAGUCCAGAUUUAGUCUCUUCUAGCUUUGAUCUGACAGAUGUUCAGGGACUGGAGGUGGAACCACAGGAGGUGGACCAAGACUGAGGCCUCAGACGUCUUCUGUUUGGCCUCUUGAUUGACAUGGACAUUUAUUCUUUACUCAUGAUUUACUCACGAUUUAUUUAGCUCUAGCAGUGCUACGUCAGCUGGCACUGCCGUAUUCACUUCUCGUCAGUUUUUGUUAGCUGUCGGGUUUUGCUCUUUACGUUACUAGGUAAAAUGGCGACAAGCUAAAACUUGUCCCUGUAGUACUGUACCUCGUCUGUGCCACCACCCCUCAAGUCUCUGUCUGUGGACUGUUGUUAUUUGGUCUGACAAGCAGAACAAGCACAUCAUUAAGUGUUGUUCUUGACCUUAAUACCAACCAUCACUCUCCAGAAGCUUUGAGUCUGUAAAUUUACUAAACAAAUUCAUGAGAGCCGUAAAACCUUAUGAAAGGUGUUGAUCUUGUUGGUGUUUCGCUCAAAGUGACUUCCUGAAGCUGGUGUGUGAUGAACAAGUUCAUAUAUUCUCUGGUCAGUAUGUCCUCAGAAACACUAAAGGCUGCCCCUUGUGGACAGUUGGUGUUUAAACAGUAACUGAAUAUAUUUUAAAUAUAAAUAUUAUUCUGUGUUGAGAUUUAAUAAACCUAAAACCAAUCAUUUAAAAGAUGCAUUUAAAAUGCAAACUAAGUAAACCUAGUGACCUCGCUCUUUGACGUAACUAAAAUGAACCAAAACUGAAUUUGAGGUGGGAACACUUAAUAAAACUAAACUAUAAUGAAAGUAGGGUGUCACCAUUAUUCGAUAUUACAACUAACUGUGGUGUUAAACGCAACGGUUAACUUAUCGUAACGUUUCCUUAAUACUGUCAGAAAAUAUGCCGGAACUGAAGUCAUGGGCAGCUCAAACGGAACGAAAACAAUGUUACACAACAGCCGCGUGUUGCAUUUGUUUUUUCACCUGAGGGACAACCACCCGCCAUUGUUAGCCACAGUGAAGUGCAACGUGACAGGUUACCUAACGUUAACAUCAUACUGUUCGUAUGUAAACAUGGCGUCAGGAAGAGGUGAAAACCAGAGUCGCCUUUCAGGAACAAGUGUCCCUACGGCAGGAGGUAAAGAGUUAAUUUCCUUCAGAGUUUCCCUGGGCCAGGUUUCAUGUGGGUCUCAGUUCUGAGGAUCAGAACUCACUCUCUUCCAGAACCUCCUCCACUGUUUCUCCAAGGGUCAUCUCUCCGUCGCUGCUGGACAGACUUUUCCUGGUCCUGAAGUCCAGUCUGGUGACAUCACAGCCCAUCACACCCUGAACUUUAACCUCUCCAGCCCCCAGAGUUUGACCUCCUCUUUGUGGAGCAGCCUGACAAGGCCGCAGCUGGUUGUUGUUGGGGCUGGUGUCGUCAUAGCAAUCGCCAAGAUGCUGGCUUCGGCGAGUGCAUUUCCUUAUGAGCUUCAGAGGAGCGCAUUCUGUGACCUGGAAGUGACUGGUGAAGAGGAAGAGCUGCCAGCGCUUCUUCAGCUCAGCCUGGACCUGAACACUGAUAAAGUGAUGGGGCCUCUGAUGAUCCACCAAAACCAUCUGUUCACGAUGGACCAACAUCUGAGGAAGCAGAGAAGUUUGUCCACAAUCAGGAGAUGGAGAAACAGGUUUUAACUGAUUUUAUAGCUUGAUUGAAUUCUUUUAUUAAUUAAGUUUUAAACUUACUCUGUGUUUUCAUAAAGUAUUUUCACCAGCAUCCACGGAGUCACAAAGAUGACAGGAGUUCCUGAGAACCAUACACAUCUGUGAUGAGCAGUUUGAUUUGCUGAGACAUUCUGAAACCCCACAUUUUUGGACUGAACAGAUUUUCACUCUCUAUGCAAACUGGGAUCACAGUUUGAACUGGAGACCGUAUGCACUAGUGCUCUGCUAAAAUGCUAGCACAUGGCUAGAAUGUCAUCAAUGUGCUGUCUACUACCACAUUGCUAACAUAAUAGAGCAGUGGAAACAUGCUGCUUGUGCACCAUGUGCUAAAAUGUUGCUCAUUUUCCAGUUUACUACUAUUACUGGCUGGAAGCUAGCCUAAUUGGAACCUACCCCAACCGAGCAGCAUGAACUUCUUCAACAGUCGCCUCCUAGUGGGAACAGUUGUGAAGAGCAGAGCGUGGAGGAAAAUGGCUUCGACCAGCAGCCAGAAAACUUGAGUAUGAAUUCCAUCCGGAAUCGUCCGUAGGAAGGUGUGUAUACAUGACAUGGAGAACUAUUUCUUUGGAGAUGACGGCCACCGCUCUCAGGAUGAAGGACACAAACAGGUUCAUGUGUAUGUAAUUCCUGGUACAGUGAAGUUUUCUGGGAAUUGGAAGGAGAACAAUGUUUCAGAAGGUCUUCCCAAAUAAUCACGUUGAGCUGUUUGGGCAGAACACUGACCUCAGAACAGCCAUCAGAAGGGUGGCCAGGGUCAGGGAGGUCAGUGACAGGGAAUAUCCAACAAUGGAGAUGAGCCGUAAAGCAGUUUGACGGAACAUUUCUUUUUCCUGGACGGAUUCGAAGAGAUGAUACUUUUUAUAGAUGAACGUGUUGAAUGGUCCUUGAAAGGUCCUUUAAUCAGACUGGUGUGGAUGUAACCACUGCUGACUCACCUUGUCUUCGAAGAACUGGUCUUCCUGACACUCGGAGUCAUCUCUCCAGGGCUCAGACAAGUUCUCCUUUGGGCGCCACCUUCCAUUUUCUAAACACUGUCUGUACGUUCUUCUGGAGCCCCCUGUAAACCAGGAGGGCUGCUGGGGUCACCACAUGUUCUGCUCUAAAUUGUGACAUUAUCUCUAAUUAGUUAAAGAUGAAACACAACUUUACCCUCUUUGAUCCACGGCAGAUAUGGAGGACAUGGAACGGACACGUUCCCAGGAGACGAAUGAGGCCAACACACGAACGAGUCAAAAGUUCCUCGGCAGAAAUUUCCUAGAAAAGACGUAAAGAAGUUUAGUGUGGAUGUGGAAGUUUGGCUAACAACACAACAGUUAAGUCAAGCUAACAAUGUUGUUAGCUGUUAACCAUUGGGUUGUUAGCAAGCACGGCAGGAUUCUUUUACAUGUGAUCAGGACAUGUCUAGAUCUGGAGUGUGUAUUGGUGAGAAAUUGUCAAUACGAUACGUUUCACGAUACACGGGCAAUGGUACAAUAUAUUGCAAUACUAUAGGUACGAUGAUAUAUUGAGUUUUUACAAUGUAAUUGUAGUAAAACUGUCAUCAUAGUAAACACACAAUGCUGUUCCAUCUGAACAUCAGAUUACUGUGAUCACUAGAGAAGAAAUAAAAGAAAAAUCUAAUAAACCAACGACAUGAAUAUUACUAUAUUUGAAUAUUUGUCACUUGUUAACUAAAAAAUCCAUACUUUGCUGUAGAAUAUUGAUACGAUAUCACAAAGUAAAAUGUUGUAAUAUAUUUUAAUGUCGCAAUAUUUUCUUAUUCCACAAGAAGUGUUUACCAAUGGCAGUAGAGACGAGCGCUACCAGUGCUCUGCACACUACAUGUUAGCACGCUACUAACAUGCUGCUCACACAUUACUUAGUAUGGCAGUACUAUAGUAUCUUCUGCCCGUAGUUACUAAGUGGAAGGUUCUAAAAAGUUUUCGAAAUGUUUUCCUCACCAGUGUUUGGUAGAAGGACUGGGUUCAGAAGACUUCUGUUACACUGGACCCAAUACUCGUUCCGAUUGGCAAUGACACUUUCCAGUACUGAAGCUGUCACCUGUCAGCACACAAUAUCCGCCAAUUAUAAAGUUAUUAUGGAGGGUUUUUACUGUCUAUUUAAAUUAAUACUUUAAAGAUUUUGAAUUCAUCAGGAAGAAAUAUAUUAGUUCAACUUCUAAUAACGAUGAUAAAAAAUUCACAGUAAUCAUCAUCAAAGUCCUGAAGCAGUUGUACGGAGAUUUUUUUUUUUUACCAUAACAUCACAAAUCUGUAAAAGAUAUAUAAUCUGAAAAAGAGCUGACAUUUAAAUCUGAUCUGUUGAUCUGAUGAUCAUCUGAUGCUCUCAGGUGCAGUUUCCUGUCAUUUCUUUCAGAUAAACCAGCAGAUUCCUACUCACCUGUGGGCUGAUAAAAACCAGGAUCAGGAUGAAAGCGGUCCAGGUCUUGUGGUACCAGCUUGGCAACAGCGUUGUCAUGGUUUCUCUGCUGUUUACAUUGAAAACAUUUCAGUCCAAAUGGUUUCCUCCUCAAACAUCACGGGGCCUCGGACUCAUCUCCACUCAGCAGCAGACACCACGACUUCAGUCCAACUAAUUCUACUCUAAGGUUUCUCCUUUUUCUAUAGAUGUUCCCAACGAUCUUCACAUGUUCGUGUUUCCUCCUCAGUGAUGAGUUCUCUUCUGCAAAAAGCUCAAAUGAUUCUAGUCCAUUAAAACCAGGGAGAUGUAAAGACGUCUGAGAACAGAGGACUGAGAUUGAGAGCGGAUCUCCAACAAUGAGGCGGAGCUCCUCCUUCAAAUCCUCAGCAAAUUACCAGGAGGCUGGUUGAGAGCAGGCUCCGGGAUGUUCUGUGUCUGUCCAAAUAUCAAGUGAGUUUAAAGAAGGUUUAAGUUCAGCCUUCAAAUUAACUUUAUUUUUAAUUAAUGCUACUAUUAAUUAUCACCAUAGUUUAACAUAUUUGGGAUUUUUCACACGAUUUGUCUAUAUAUAUAUAUAUAUAUAUAUGUAUAUAUAUAUAUAUAUUUGGCUUCCAAAUCCUUAUAUUUUUGGACAUGAUUACUCACAGGGUCACUGUGGAUUGAUAUAAAAACUCAGAUUCUCACCUGUUUUUAUCUUCGACUAAUCAAAAUAUUGGGAUUAUUAAUCUGUGAGUGGGUGUAUUUCAGAGUUUUAUUUAUUACAUGCACAUCAUACAGUGUACAGCACCUGCUGAGUAAACACUUUUUAAAAAAAGAAAAACACAUUUUUACACAGUAAAACAGUUAACAGUCCCCCCCCCCCCCCCCCAUUAAAUACAAACAGAGAAAGAGGACUAACAGAAAAGUUGACUGAGCAUCUAUGCAGACAGGUUUACACACAAACUGUAUAUAUGUGUGUGUGUUCAAUUUAAUAUCCAAAGUUAAGCAGGCAGAUGACCGGUGGUCCUCAGGCUGUGGAGACACUGGCCUGUAGGCAGAGGAGUCGAUGGUGUCCGGGGGGGCAGCAGAGGGUCCUGAGCAGACCACCCUCCCUGCUGCGUGCAGUUUCCCAUCCCUGUGAUUUUGCUUCCAAACAAGAUGAUGGUCAAUACUGCAGGUGUAAAAUUAAUCAGCCUGGAAAGUUUUGAAGCUUUAAGGCCACUUUCAGUGACUUUGCUGACCAUCAAUGAUUAAUGUUCAGAUGUGUGUUUUGAAAGACACACACACACUAACCUGAACCAGGGCAGGAAAGAAGUAAGAGUUUGUUUACCUUUGUGUAACUGUGUAAACACAGCAGCCCAGAUGUUUGGCAGUUGCUGCUUCAUGGGUUCCAUCAUGUUUAGCCUAUAGGCCAGAUGUCCUGUGGGCCACGGUAAACUGUUUGGGUUUCUCAGGUCUCGCAUAGUUUGGUCGCCGGAGCUUUGACCAAUUAUCAAGUGAAGAGUGGCCUGUAGUCGAGAGGUCAAGAGGUCGCUGCAGUUGUGGAGCAGAAACAGGAAGGGGUGGUGGUCUUCUGAUAGCUCCUCACCCCUAACACCUACCUCUCUCACCCCUAGUGUAACUCCUAACUCCCCAACACCAGUGACCUCUGUAGUAACCCUGUCCCCCGGGUUCUGUACUACAGCCCCCAGUGAAGGUGGGGGUGUGCACAGCAUCACCUCUCAGCCGGAAAAACAAACACUCAGACAGACAGAGAACGUUCUGGAUCCAGGGUCAACAGCAGACACAGCCAUGGGCAUCACAUCGCUGUGUAGCCAAAUAACAGCAUCAGGCUCAGGGAGGAGGAGAAAAGGCGGGAGAGAGAGUGGGGCAGGGUUAGUUGAAUUUAAAUUAUUUGCCGAUCAUUUCUGUUUAAAGUCUCAUUGUCUUAAGGAUUAAUUCAUUCGUCAUCUCCUCAGUGACUGUAUGUGUGAAAUAGGUGGAGGUCCUGAACCCCCCGGCGCCCCCUGUGGACUGUCUGGAUGAGAGUGUUUCUGAGCAUCAGCAGCUUUAACUAGACACUGACCUGAGACUCAACCCUUUAUUUUCACCUCCUCCACCACUGAUGGUCUCCUCAGGCCACAGUGUCAUGGGUGACAGACGAUGCUCAUCCCAUGGAAAAUGAACAACUGCCUCCUGAUUGGUCAGAAUCAGACUCCAGUCUCUCUAUCUCUCUCUCUCUCUGUCCCUCCCUCUGUCCCCCUCAGCCCCCCCUCCCUGUAGUGCCUCUGACUGUUUAUGUCCAGAGAAGUUUAUAAAACAACAACGUUAAUAAUCAUUUAUUAAAGUUGACAAAGUUUACAAUCAAACUUGUUCAUUCAGUCCUGAUGUUUAUAUUCAAACAGGAUGUGAUGAUGAUGAUGAUGAUGGUGAUGGGUUCAAGCUUAAGUCUAGGGUAAACCUGACAACAAAAAACAAAGAGACCUAGUUAAAGAUUCAAUAAAUUAAUGUAAUAUUAGAAAUUCUGAAGUUUUAGGAUCAUUUUAGAAAAUGUAAUUUCCCUUUGUUUUAGUGAAAUGUUUUCUGUGUCCUUUAGUAGACUAAAAUAUAUAUACCAUGGUAUCACUCAUUUACACACUGCAGCUGCAGUAGCAGCAGUAGUAGCAGCAGCAGUAACAGCAGCAGCAGCAGUAACAGCAGCAGUAGUUGUGUCUCUGGAAAGUCUCCUGUUAAAAGUGUUGAUACAAAUCUGUCAGAAAUUCCUUUACAACAAAUUCCAACAACAUAAACAUAAACAUCAUCAAUUUUUCUCUGCUUUAGAGCAGACAACCAAAUCCUCCUUCCUCCUCUCUCCUGUCUCCUCGCUCCUCUCUUCCACCUCCCAUCCUGACCAGAUUAGGAAACAAGUGUCUGCAACCCCCCUACCCCGCCCCGUUCUCGGUCUCUAACUUGACCCCUGAAUGCGGUCAUCUUUUCUUACUGGAUUUGUUUGCAUUCUUACCAGAAGGUGGUGCUCUUCUGCAAAAUCUUGGGCAGUGACUGGAGUCAAGUCAUUGUUUUACUGACAAAAUCUCACAAAAAACAUUCCCUUUAGAAUUGUGAUCAGGCCCUAGGUCCUGACUCACAGCACUCCCUGCUGUUAGAACCCAGUCCUGCAACGUCAGGGAACGUAAGAAGCGCUUUAAAAAGCAGAGUAAACUUCAGCUUGGACUGGAGAACUGUCGUGAAACAUUUUAUUUCCUUCGGUCUUGUUUUAGUCGGGUCAUUUAAUUUGACCAUGCAGUUUUUUUUAGAUGUUGAAAUGCUUCCAUUUAGUGAACGAAUGUUAAUCUACCGUCUUCAAGCAGGCACGUACAUGACUUGACAUGAAGAUUUCUUUUUUUUUAGGACCCCACUCCCCCCCUUCACACACACACAUACACACACAUACAUACAUUUCAUAUAACCGGAGUGAAAGUGAACUACUUUUUUGUUAUUAUUUAUUAUUUUUCUAUUUUUUCAUUAUUGUGACACUGCACUCCCACUGCCCACAACCAAAUGACCUCUGCUUUUAACAGUGACCACCUGUCCCGCUUUACGUUACGUCACGAAAACUUUUGUCCCACUUGGUCAUUUGAAAUUACUUAAUAGAAAAAACUAAACUUUAUGGGCACGACUAUCAGUGCAGUCCAUAACAAUGAUAGGCCACUACGAGGAGAAGGCGGUAGCUGACAGGCUGAGUGGUGUGUCAAUCAAACUGCUGACUCGCAGCAGUCACACAGCGUCUGAAAUCGUAGAACGCGCAGUUGUUUUGAUAUUGUGAAGGUUCCCACGUGUGGAGUGCCGACAGAAGACGCCAUCUUUUGGCUGAGACCAGUGGAUGGAGACUGAAUCAGCAUUCUGGAAUUGAUAGGAAACGACACGGUGCACGUGAGUCUCAAACAAGUACACAACAGAAAACUUCCAAAAGUGUGUAGUAUUUUUUCUGUAAACCAAAUGACACUGAGUUAAAAUAAUAAAUGACCGCAGUAAAAGUUACCAGUGUUUACCGUAUAGAGUAUCUACAGCGAUGCUGAAUAUAUAUUCACGGCCAUUGAAUCUUGUUGUAGCCUAGGUUUAAACUUUUGUUUGCUUUUCUGCUGCCAAUGUUUCAGAAACGUGCCAUUCCCAGUGCUGAGAAAGGCAGUUGGCCUGCCAUCUGCUGGAUUGUGAUGCAAAAUCUGCCUGGUGGUGUUGGGGUAUUUCUAUUUUUUUAUUCUCAUGUUUUGGUCACAAAUGGCCAUAAUGAUAAUUAUAAUCCACAGGAGUUGUUGGUUUUACAUAGACCAUUUACAUUGAAAUUGUUGAAUUUGACAUCAGGUCAUAUUUAGUUGUUGUCCUAUCUUCUUAUUUGAUGUUAAAUGUGGAAGAAUUAAGAUAUUGAAUCAAUAAUGAUGUUACAUUACAACAUGUGUUGUGUUGAGAUAUUGUUUCCCAAAGACUGGGUCGCGACCCUCAGGUGGGUCACAAGAUAUAUUUUUUUGGGUCGUCACGACGCAACAUGU